GUCUGCAUUUGGGAGCAGGGACCUCGGUGAGACAGAGGGGUACCAUGAGAUUUCCAAACUCCAGUCCUCAGUCUGCAGCCUGGAGGAGGGAGCUGGAGCAAACGAGGGCAGUGCCCCUCUGGAGGAGCAGGACGCCUUCGAGGUGUUGGAUUAGGGAGGACGCAAGACAGGAGGAGCAGAGACCUCGGCCAAGGCAUCUGUCAGCUCCCUCUGGAGAAGUCCUGCUGGCUCCCAAUUUGCCAUUUCUGGCGUCCUGACACCAGUGCUUCAAGAGGACGUCUCUGUGGUCUGUGAGCUCCUAGAGGUGCGGAUCACUGCUGGCUUCUCCUGGAGCUGCCACAGGUCCCCAGGCAGAAGCAGUCUCCCCAAGCCCCUGCUCCAUCGCUUGCAUGAGCUGGUUUCUCUCCGGGAUGUCUGGUGGCACUGCUGAGCUGUCCAAAAUCAGCUGGGGCACUGCAGGUACAGCCUUGUCUGUGGCUUCCUUCUGGGGACGGGAGCUCGCUUUUGGCUUAGAGCAUCUGAUGAGAAACAAGCCAGAUACCAACGCCUGCGACUGCUGCCUUGGCUCUUGCUGAAAGAAACAGUCGGAGAAAGGUCCCCGUUGUCCCCACCUCCAGGCAG